rnacentral:misc_RNA from 1 species
GAUGAAGAACGCAGCGAAAUGCGAUACUUGGUGUGAAUUGCAGAAUCCCGUGAACCAUCGAGUCUUUGAACGCAAGUUGCGCCCGAAGCCAUUAGGCCGAGGGCACGCCUGCCUGGGCGUCACACGUCGUUGCCCCCCCAUCUACUCCUUCGGGAUUGCGGGGGGCGGAUGAUGGCCUCCCGUGCGCCUCGUCGCGCGGUUGGCAUAAAUGCCAAGUCCUCGGCGACGCACGCCACGACAAUCGGUGGUUGCGAAACCUCGGUUGCCCGUCGUGUGCGGUCGUCGCGCAUCGAGGGCUCGAAAAAAUUGCCGGGCUCCGGCUCGGCUUUCAACGCGACCCCAGGUCAGGCGGGGUUACCCGCUGAAUUUAAGCAUAUCAAUAAGCGGAGGA